GGGGGACAACGUCUCGAAAGGGACGCUAAUACCGCAUACGUCCUACGGGAGAAAGUGGGGGCUCUUCGGACCUCACGCUAUCAGAUGAGCCUAGGUCGGAUUAGCUAGUUGGUGAGGUAAUGGCUCACCAAGGCGACGAUCCGUAACUGGUCUGAGAGGAUGAUCAGUCACACUGGAACUGAGACACGGUCCAGACUCUAUACGGGAGGCAGCAGUGGGGAAUAUUGGACAAUGGGCGAAAGCCUGAUCCAGCCAUGCCGCGUGUGUGAAGAAGGUCUUCGGAUUGUAAAGCACUUUAAGUUGGGAGGAAGGGUUGUACGUUAAUACCGUGCAAUUUUGACGUUACCGACAGAAUAAGCACCGGCUAACUCUGUGCCAGCAGCCGCGGUAAUACAGAGGGUGCAAGCGUUAAUCGGAAUUACUGGGCGUAAAGCGCGCGUAGGUGGUUUGUUAAGUUGGAUGUGAAAUCCCCGGGCUCAACCUGGGAACUGCAUCCAAAACUGGCAAGCUAGAGUAGGGCAGAGGGUGGUG
rnacentral:rRNA from 1 species